GGGCUUGUACUGGUUUCGACGGGGGUUUUGAAGUUUGGGAAGCCAUUCGUGGACUCCGGGACCGCGUCAUCAACCUGGAACCUAAAUUUAAACGCAGACGAUAAUUACGUAGCGUACGCUGCCUAAGUGCGGCGUUGUCAGCUGAAUAGUUUUCCGCGGCUAUUCUCCUGGCAUCAAACAGAUGCGGAGCACUUCGUUUCCAAAGCUUUGCGGAGAUGGAAGAUUUUAUGAAGCUACCGAAGCGGCAAGCCUGUCAUCCGGCGUGCCGACGGGGGAAUCCUCAAUAGAAUGACUGUAAUGGGAGAUGCCUGAAUGAAUAGGCUUUCGGACAGGGGUUCGAUUCCCCUCAGGUCCAUAC
rfam:Blautia sp. CAG:37, WGS project CBJJ01000000 data, contig: 340